GAUGAACGCUGGCGGCGUGCCUAAUACAUGCAAGUCGAGCGAACAGAUAAGGAGCUUGCUCCUUUGACGUUAGCGGCGGACGGGUGAGUAACACGUGGGUAACCUACCUAUAAGACUGGAAUAACUCCGGGAAACCGGGGCUAAUGCAGGAUAACAUGUUGAACCGCAUGGUUCUACAGUGAAAGGCGGCUUUGCUGUCACUUAUAGAUGGACCCGCGCCGUAUUAGCUAGUUGGUGAGGUAACGGCUCACCAAGGCAACGAUACGUAGCCGACCUGAGAGGGUGAUCGGCCACACUGGAACUGAGACACGGUCCAGACUCCUACGGGAGGCAGCAGUAGGGAAUCCUCCGCAAUGGGCGAAAGCCUGACGUAGCAACGCCGCGUGAGUGAUGAAGGUCUUCUGAUCGUAAAACUCUGUUAUUAGGGAAGAACAAAUGCGUAAGUAACUGUGCGCGUCUUGACGGUACCUAAUCAGAAAGCCACGGCUAACUACGUG
rnacentral:rRNA from 1 species